UGGGGGUUGUAGCUCAGUGGUAGAACACUUGCCUAUCAUGCAUGAGGCCCUGGGUUCAAUCCCCAGCACUCCAA